UGGGGCUGGUACUUAGUGCGGCGAACGUGAGAGGGUGGACAACCGGGUCGGGUAUAUAUGGAAGGCCCACCUGCCCUGCCCCCGCGGGUUCGGAUAUGGGUCGGGUUUCCACUUUUCCCUUGGUCGCUCUUCACCAAAUCCCGACGCCGUUAGAAUCCGCGUGGCUUUCACAUGCAAUGUUUGUGGCCAGCGCACAACUCGUGCCGUCAAUCCACAUGCCUAUACAGACGGCACCGUAUUCGUUCAGUGUUGCGGAUGAAGUGCUAUGUGAAUUCAAGUUUCAACCCGAACCCAAAUAACGACGCGAGCUUCAACUAUUUUGACUCGGAGGACGGCAAGAACGAUGAUAUUUUCCCAUUUUUCUAAAAAGGUGAUAAAUGCCAUAAAAUUGCAAUUAGUGGCAUUGAUGUAAAUGUGUUGUACAUUCUAUCGGUCUCGUAGGGUUUUCUUACUUUAUCGUGGUUUUCUAAAUACGGGUAUCUCAUUGUUGGUAUAGUUGAAUACGUAGUGUUACUUCUUCUAUAGUUUUUACAAUCACCUUGUUGUGAAUCAAGCCCCCAAGGGAGUUUACUUGGUUGCUUGUUGAUUUCUUGAUGUUAUUAACUUAUUAUCGCUACUCGAGAAAAAAAUGAAAGAGAGAUCACCUAGUCUAGCAUAUGUUUUUAAUAUUUUUACGAGGCAUGAAAUUGUUCUUAGCUGAUGUAAGUACCGAUGGCAUUUCGAAUAUGCUAUGCUGAUUGAGAACUAAAAUCUCGUGUUUAUUUUUCGUCACGAGGAUUUUAUAAGCACGGUUUAUACCGGUUAGAACUUAUCCGGCUA